rnacentral:rRNA from 1 species
GGACCGUGUAUAAGUCUCCUGGGAUGGGGCGUCAUAGAGGGUGAGAAUCCCGUCUUUGACACGGACUACCAGUGCAUUGUGGUAUGCUCUCAAAGAGUCGAGUUGUUUGGGAAUGCAGCUCAAAAUGGGUGGUAAAUUCCAUCUAAAGCUAAAUAUUGGCGAGAGACCGAUAGCGAACAAGUACCGUGAGGGAAAGAUGAAAAGAACUUUGGAAAGAGAGUUAAACAGUACGUGAAAUUGCUGAAAGGGAAACGCUUGAAGUCAGUCGCGUUGGCCGGGAAUCAGCCUUGCUUUUGCAUGGUGUACUUUCUGGUUGAUGGGUCAGCAUCAAUUUUGACUGCUGGAAAAAGGCCUGGGGAAUGUGGCAGCUUCGGCUGUGUUAUAGCCCCUAGUCACAUACAGUGGUUGGGAUUGAGGAACUCAGCACGCCGCAAGGCCGGGUUUCGACCACGUUCGUGCUUAGGAUGCUGGCAUAAUGGCUUUAAGCGACCCGUCUUGAAACACGGACCAAGGAGUCUAACAUGCCUGCGAGUAUUUGGGUGGAAAACUCAAGUGCGUAAUGAAAGUGAAAGUUGAGAUCCCUGUCGUGGGGAGCAUCGACGCCCGGACCAGAACUUUUGGGACGGAUCCGCGGUGGAGCAUGUAUGUUGGGACCCGAAAGAUGGUGAACUAUGCCUGAAUAGGGUGAAGCCAGAGGAAACUCUGGUGGAGGCUCGUAGCGAUUCUGACGUGCAAAUCGAUCGU